CUCCACUUUCCAUUCUAAGAUUCCAUAAGUCAGCUGAAGAAACGACCAAGACCAAGGCUGUCUGGAUUAGAAGUUCUACGCCGAAAAGCAAACAUGCAUUUCCAAGUUUUUUCUUAUUUGAAAAUUCUACCAGUUUGUCUUUGGGGGACUGAAAUGAGACUGAAAACAGAUCUCAUGUAAAGCUCCGGCUUUCUUGGAAUUACAAAUACAGAGGCCAGUGUGAGUGGAGUCUUAGAAAGGCUGCCUUUUGGAGAGCGAAGACGCUGGCAUUCUCUGGUUACUUUGGUGAUCGCCACUGACCUUGGCAAGAGGAAGCACUGUUUUGAAAUGGAUCCCGGUGGCACAUUUACACCGGAGUACCUUGCGGCUUCGCAAAUGGAUUUGUGCACAGAUCUGACCCUUUUAGCAGCUACGGUCUAAUACAUAGAUUCCAGCCAAAGUAGUGUGAAGCACACUCAAAACUACGGCUUAAAACAAAGCUUUGUAAAGAUGAUACUCACCUAGUUUUUCCCUAUUGGGAUACUAUGUCUUCACUGCAACGAGAAGAUAGGGUAGAGCUAAUACAAGCACAUAUAUUCAACUUGGGAAUUUGUAAAGAAAGAAAGAAAUGUUAGUGUAGGGGUGCCUGGAUGGCUCAGUCAUUAG